rnacentral:rRNA from 1 species
AUUGAACGCUGGCGGCAUGCCUAACACAUGCAAGUCGAACGAGUGGCGGACUGGUGAGUAAUGUCUGGGAAACUGCCUGAUGGAGGGGGAUAACUACUGGAAACGGUAGCUAAUACCGCAUACCAUCAGAUGUGCCCAGAUGGGAUUAGCUUGUUGGUGGGGUAACGGCUCACCAAGGCGACGAUCCCUAGCUGGUCUGAGAGGAUGACCAGCCACACUGGAACUGAGACACGGUCCAGACUCCUACGGGAGGCAGCAGUGGGGAAUAUUAGGCAAUGGGCGAAAGCCUGAUGCAGCCAUGCCGCGUGUAUGAAGAAGGCCUUCGGUUAGUAAAAUACUGUCAGCGGGGAGGCGUUACCCGCCGAAGAAGCACCGGCUAACUACGUGCCAGCCGCCGCGGUAAUUC